AAGGGUUGAAAAUGAUAACCCUUAUGCUAGCAACACAAUGGGGGAAACUGUGUGGCGCCGUUCGAAGUCGCGAUCAGACUGCGAAGGCGUUACGGGGUGGUAUCUACUUAGUGGCGGUGAUCGAGCCAUGGAGUGGAACCAUCAAGGAUGGAGACCAGUGCUAUUCUUAUUCUUUGAUUUAUCGAGAUCUUUAUGUGAUUAUCAGCAGCUUUCAUCUUGAACCUGCUUAAUUGUUAUAUCUGUUUAAACUCCUCGAUAUACAUAUAUCCGUGAUGUUGCACUUGAAAUGAGAACUUGCUGAGCAAAUCAUUUGGUCAUACUUGCAAUAUUUAUUUCUUUUAACAGUAAAGACAGAGUAUGGCUCGAAUAAGGAGGACAAUCAGGAAGCGUACCACAGCAAGGGAAAGAGCAAGGCGUGAAGUCAAUGCAAGAAGAAGGGUACGAAGACGGACUCUUACAUCAAGGGUGUAUUACUUUAUAAUAAUAUUAGUAGUUGGUACCUUUGGACUUAUUAUUGUAAUCUUAAUCUAAGACCAUGUGUAAGUGCGUAUCGAUCCCUGGACUUGUGGGAAGUGUGAGUUGUAAUAUAAGAUGUUUAUGUUAUGCUAUGUUUAUGUGGCGACCCAAAUUCAGGGGAUACGGGUUUGGGGGCGUUACAGAUUUGGUAUCAGAGCGGUGUUAUAUCCUUAGGACACGAGAACCUAGGCAUAUAACUGGUGAGGGUAAGAUUCACCAAUGAGAGUUGUAAAGAUAUAUAUACAUUUAUAUAUAUCGAUUUGUGCGUAUGCGGGAGGACAUACGAACCAAGUAGACCCUGAGAGUCACUAGACUCUAUUAGUUAUAUGAUUAAAUAUAUGCAUCUUAAGUAACCCUUAGUGUUAUGUGUAUAGAUGGCAGGAUCCGGUGACGUUCGAGGCCGAUCUCUCAUGGGGUACUCUGACUCUAGCUAUGAUAGCGACCCUUCGAUGGAGAUUAUCUUUGUGGACAGUGGUUCGGAGGACUCAUCGAUUCAGAUUCUGGAGCCUCCAUCUCCUGUGGUUAUUGAUCUUGUGGACUCUUCUGACUCAGAGAUACCCGACUUAGGAGAGCAGAUUCAGAGUGAGGGACUAGAGUCACCUUUCCGCUCACUACCUACUAUUACUACUGUACCAGCGAUCACUACUGAUGUUGUCACCACUCCUCCUACUUAUGUGACUGCACCUGUUCAGAGGAGCGAUGGUGAUCCUGACAUUCUAGAGUUACUCAGUUACUUUCAGACUCCUACCUCAGAGGUUUCUACUUAUACCCCUGAGUUUGCUGCGAUGCCCACCGCUGAUAGGUAUCGGUUUGAGUUUUCAGUUUCUGCUCCAGUUGCGGAGUUCUCUACUCCAUCCUUUGUUACUCCAGCACCGGUUUACUCGGUUCCUGAGCCGAGAGUUCAGAUAGAGCAGCCCGUUGUUACUACUUCGGAGAUUCCGGUUCAUGCACCGGGUAUUCCUAUGAUAUCAGCACCAGUUUCACAGACUCCUACGGGCUCUCUUGGGGCGUCUGCUCCUAUGUCACUCGCAGAUUGGGCGGAUUGGGCUAUGAUGAGCUCUACUAUGCACUCGGAGUAUAUGGCUUUAGCACAUCAGUACCAGAGUGUUCUUGAUCAGUAUGUGGAUUCUGUCUACCCCAGCUGGGAUAGUUUUAUGACUUUUGAGAGAGAGAGAGAGAGGGAGAGGGAGAGAUGAUGUGAAUGAGGCAGAGAGGGGCGGCGUCGAGGCCACCGGAGCCGAGCUCCGGCCGGCAGCCGAGGGAAAUGGCUGGAGAAGGGAGAGAGAAGGUGGGUGGGGAGAAAAUGGAUAGUUGGGGAAGAUGGGGGUAUAUUGGUAAAUCACUAAUUAGAUGAUAGGUAAUAAAAUAAUAAAUAAAAUUGAGAUUUUAAAUUUGGGUGGUUGAUUAAUUAAAAUAAAAGGGGAGACAAUACAAUUGGAUGGGUAAGACUUAAUUAGAAAUAAUUUAAGAGAGUGGGAUAUUGAGAUAUAUUAUUAUUCUUAAUUUAGUAAUUUCGGAUUGAAUAACGAAACCAAAGGCUUGGGUGUAAGGAUAAGCUAUUAAUUAAUUUAGUGGAUAUUAUUUAAUUUGGAGAAACAUUGAGAUAAAAUUAAGUAUAGGUCACAUAAGUUGGUGAAUUUGUGGACUAUUAAGGUUGUAGAUAAAUAAAGUUGAUAAUUAAGGAUAAUCGGAUUUAAAAUCGUAGUAAUGGAUUUAGUGGGUUUGGGAGAUUAAAUUUAGAAAUACCAAUACAUUAGUUCUAUGUGACACUUAAUAAACCGUAAGAGGUAUUACUAUUAAUUUAGUAAUCAUGGAAUUAUUAUUUGUCGUUAAUUAAAUUAGAGAGUCUCUUGGAUUAUAAGAUAAGUAAUUAAGGAAAUGAGUUAUAGAUUAUUGGGAUGGUAUAUUUUGUUAUCCUUCAUGAAUUUAGGAAUUUAUUAUUAAAAUAUAGUUAUAAAGGUGCAAAAGAUGCAGAAUAAUAAUUCAUAAAUAAUUAGGGGUAAUUAUUUAAAGGAAUUAUAAAUGAUUACAUUCUUAGUAUUAAACUUAAAGGAUAUGAUUAAUUGAGACUAAUCUUAGUCAAGGGGAAAUGUAAAUACUCAUCCUUUGAGAUUAAUUCAUUCGAUAGGUGUACUAAAUUCACUACUUUAUGUGAUUUAGAAUAUUUUACUUCCCGGAAAGGCGGAUCUUAUUUGAGACGGAAUAUUAUAGCAAAGGACGACAGGCAAGUUUAUCUAUUCCCUACCUUUGUUAUGCCAAUAUGCCUUAUUUAUUUGUUGGAUAUAUUACAUGAUAUUUGAAAUGCUGCUUGUAAUUCCGAUAAUUUUAUACUCAAGUAUUACUGAAGAUCGAGCAGAAGCAGCUACUUGAAGAUCAGACGUUCACUUCGCGUGUUUAUUAUCUAAUUUUGUUUCAUGAUAUGAGUUUAUCCAUUGUUCGGGUUACUCACCAUCCAAAGAGAUUAUCAAAUUUUCCGACUUUCGAACCCUUAUAUUGUGUAAGCUUGUAGAAAUUAUAUUAUUAUUCCGGCACCUUCAUUGCUACAAGCCCAAUUCGGUUUGCAAAUCUUCACUUUGCUUCCGUCUCAAAAGCCUGAAUCAUUUCUUAGAAUCGUUAUCUUGAAUCAAUUAGUUAUUUCAACUUAUGAUUAUUCACGUCAUUCAAAUAUCUAGACCCUUAACUAGAAUUCAUUCAUUCUAACAAAGAUAUAAUAUUCUUGUAAAAUUUUCGGUUAACAACUAUUCUAUUCUUAUUCCCGAAGCGGUACCAUUGACUUCAAUUCUUGUUGCAUUCUCUAUCUUAUUUAAAUCCUAGAGUCCUAAUCUUAAAGAGAUAUAUGAUCUGUAAAGGGUUUGAUAACCAAGACGGAUCGACCCUCUCGUUCAUUGCAAAUUUGGAUUACAUAGUUUUCGUAAUCUAUAAGACUUUGAUUUUAAAUUAGAAAAGGUGCAUUGUUCGCUCCAGAAAGUGACUUGGAGUUUUGUUGGUAAAAGAGGCAUUUCUUGUACUCAGGGGGAAGAAUCUUACAAACUGGUCAACACGAAUAAUUCUAAUUCGUGGAAGAGAAGCGUUAUUACUGUCUCUGUGUGAGACAACUUAAAGGGUUGAAAAUGAUAACCCUUAUGCUAGCAACACAAUGGGGGAAACUGUGUGGCGCCGUUCGAAGUCGCGAUCAGACUGCGAAGGCGUUACGGGGUGGUAUCUACUUAGUGGCGGUGAUCGAGCCAUGGAGUGGAACCAUCAAGGAUGGAGACCAGUGCUAUUCUUAUUCUUUGAUUUAUCGAGAUCUUUAUGUGAUUAUCAGCAGCUUUCAUCUUGAACCUGCUUAAUUGUUAUAUCUGUUUAAACUCCUCGAUAUACAUAUAUCCGUGAUGUUGCACUUGAAAUGAGAACUUGCUGAGCAAAUCAUUUGGUCAUACUUGCAAUAUUUAUUUCUUUUAACAGUAAAGACAGAGUAUGGCUCGAAUAAGGAGGACAAUCAGGAAGCGUACCACAGCAAGGGAAAGAGCAAGGCGUGAAGUCAAUGCAAGAAGAAGGGUACGAAGACGGACUCUUACAUCAAGGGUGUAUUACUUUAUAAUAAUAUUAGUAGUUGGUACCUUUGGACUUAUUAUUGUAAUCUUAAUCUAAGACCAUGUGUAAGUGCGUAUCGAUCCCUGGACUUGUGGGAAGUGUGAGUUGUAAUAUAAGAUGUUUAUGUUAUGCUAUGUUUAUGUGGCGACCCAAAUUCAGGGGAUACGGGUUUGGGGGCGUUACAGAUUUGGUAUCAGAGCGGUGUUAUAUCCUUAGGACACGAGAACCUAGGCAUAUAACUGGUGAGGGUAAGAUUCACCAAUGAGAGUUGUAAAGAUAUAUAUACAUUUAUAUAUAUCGAUUUGUGCGUAUGCGGGAGGACAUACGAACCAAGUAGACCCUGAGAGUCACUAGACUCUAUUAGUUAUAUGAUUAAAUAUAUGCAUCUUAAGUAACCCUUAGUGUUAUGUGUAUAGAUGGCAGGAUCCGGUGACGUUCGAGGCCGAUCUCUCAUGGGGUACUCUGACUCUAGCUAUGAUAGCGACCCUUCGAUGGAGAUUAUCUUUGUGGACAGUGGUUCGGAGGACUCAUCGAUUCAGAUUCUGGAGCCUCCAUCUCCUGUGGUUAUUGAUCUUGUGGACUCUUCUGACUCAGAGAUACCCGACUUAGGAGAGCAGAUUCAGAGUGAGGGACUAGAGUCACCUUUCCGCUCACUACCUACUAUUACUACUGUACCAGCGAUCACUACUGAUGUUGUCACCACUCCUCCUACUUAUGUGACUGCACCUGUUCAGAGGAGCGAUGGUGAUCCUGACAUUCUAGAGUUACUCAGUUACUUUCAGACUCCUACCUCAGAGGUUUCUACUUAUACCCCUGAGUUUGCUGCGAUGCCCACCGCUGAUAGGUAUCGGUUUGAGUUUUCAGUUUCUGCUCCAGUUGCGGAGUUCUCUACUCCAUCCUUUGUUACUCCAGCACCGGUUUACUCGGUUCCUGAGCCGAGAGUUCAGAUAGAGCAGCCCGUUGUUACUACUUCGGAGAUUCCGGUUCAUGCACCGGGUAUUCCUAUGAUAUCAGCACCAGUUUCACAGACUCCUACGGGCUCUCUUGGGGCGUCUGCUCCUAUGUCACUCGCAGAUUGGGCGGAUUGGGCUAUGAUGAGCUCUACUAUGCACUCGGAGUAUAUGGCUUUAGCACAUCAGUACCAGAGUGUUCUUGAUCAGUAUGUGGAUUCUGUCUACCCCAGCUGGGAUAGUUUUAUGACUUUUGGACCUCCUGCUCCUUUCACUGCUCCAGCUGGAUAUGGGUUCUUGCCGAGAGAUACUGGGGCAGAUAUAGUUCAUCAGGUUGCCGUUUCUGUGUUCGAGGGACUUCAGUUUGACCUCCAGCACCUUCCUUCCACCAGCACAGGACUUGUUGAUGCUACCCAUGUUGCCAUCCUGGUUGACCUAGCUCGGUCAGAGUUUCUACGCCGGGUGUCCGAGAUCUUCGGACGCUGAUCCAUCGAUAUAGUCUCACCUUUUUGCGGGAUCACAUUACUAGCACCAGUGGAUUCCGAGUAUUACUUUUGCUUAUCAUAUGACUGCUGACAUUGUAGUGUUUCGGGAUUAGAGAGUCGUGCAUAUCCUUUUGUUUUGAUGCAGACUUGAUAGUUUCGAUAGUUGAUCUUUCUGGCAGUAGUUAUGUAGUUAGGUCAUGAUGUAGAUGCAGAUAUGCCAGCUAUGAUGAUGUAUUUAUUAGUGAUGACUAGACUUGAUGAUGUACUUGUUAGUGAUGAUCAGACUAGAUACUACGGGUUAUGGUCUCUUUUGUACUCGAAACUUGGUAUCUAUAUGAUGAUUUCUAGUACUAUUGAUGAUGGAUGGUUUACUUUUUCUGCACUAUUAUCAUGAUUACUGCUCGUACUUGCUUUACCAUCAUCUAUAUCUUAUGAUCUCUUGUACUUUAUCUAUCG
rnacentral:lncRNA from 1 species